UACGAGUGCUCCAAGCGUUAUCCGGAAUUAUUGGGCGUAAAGGGUGUGUAGGUGGCUGGCUUAGUCUUCUGUGAAAGAUCGGGGCUCAACCCCGAAAACGCGGAGGAAACGGGUCGGCUCGAGGGUGCAAGAGGUGUACGGAACUCAUGGUGUAGGGGUGAAAUCCGUUGAUAUCAUGGGGAACACCGAAAGCGGAGGCAGUACACUGGUGCAUACCUGACACUGAAACACGAAAGCGUGGGUAGCGAACGGG
rnacentral:rRNA from 1 species